GAUGAACGCUAGCGGCAGGCUUAACACAUGCAAGUCGAGGGGUAACAGGGUAGCAAUACCGCUGACGACCGGCAAACGGGUGCGGAACACGUACGCAACAUACCCUUGUCUGGGGCAUAGCCCGAAGAAAUUCGGAUUAACACCCCAUAAGAUCAUAGAAUGGCAUCAUUUAGUUGAUUAAAAAUUUAAUUUGGACGGGGAGUUGGCGUGCGUCCUAUUAGCUAGUUGGUAUGGGUAACGGCCUACCAAGGCGACGAUAGGUAGCUGGUGUGAGAGCACGACCAGCCACACGGGCGACUGAGACACGGGCCAAACUACCUACGGGAGGGCAGCAGUGGGGAAGUAAUUGGACAAUGGGCGCAAGCCUGAUCCAGCCAUGCCGCGUGAGUGAUGAAGGCCCUAGGGUUGCAAAGCUCUUUUGUGCGGGAAGAUAAUGACGGUACCGCAAGAAUAAGCCCCGGCUAACUUCGUGCCAGCAGCCGCCGUAAU
rnacentral:rRNA from 1 species